GCUAUAUCUAUUGGUUUCAUUAUCUAGCUUAUACUUUGAGAAACUACCCCAAAAAAAUUGAACUCAAAACCCUUCGUAAUCAUGUCUCUUACAACUUUGAUGUUUAGAUCAAUUGUGAGGUUUCUAACAUCAUUAAUUGGUGAGCCUACAACUUCAAUCCCAACAUUACUAUACUAUAGUGGUCUUUUGCCUCACAAUGUUGUUCUAUUGAGAAUGGUUCGACGUGAAAUGCUUCAUCAAGAAAACUAUCUCUUCCAUUUUCUUAUUAGCUUAAUGAGCUGCUUUUGGUGAAUUGAUUGUGCAAUUUUGUAAUCAUUUUUAAUUUCCACUUAGUGGGUUUUGUUUACAUUGAGACUGAGUGAGUCAUGUGUUUAAUUUCCACUUAAUUUCCACUUAGUGGGUCUCAAAGCA